rnacentral:tRNA from 1 species
AGUAAUGUAAGCUAAACUAAGCUCUUGGGUUCAUACCCCAAAAAUGUAAGUAAUACCUUUCCUUUACUA